ACACGACUACAUUAGACUACCCGGUAGUCCUAGCCGUAAACGAUACUCGCUAGGUGUCGGCCACGGUGCGACCGUUGUCGGUGCCGUAGGGAAGCCGUGAAGCGAGCCACCGUGGGAAGUACCGGCCGCAAGGCUAGAAAACUUAAAAGGAAUUGGCGGGGAGCACAACAACGGGUGGAGCUUGCGGUUUAAUUGGAUUCAACGCCGGAAAUCUUACCGGGACCGACAGCAACAUGAAGGCCAAGCUGAAGACUUUGCCGGAUUAGCUG
rnacentral:rRNA from 1 species